rnacentral:rRNA from 1 species
CCAGACUCCUACGGGAGGCAGCAGUGGGGACUCUUGCACAAUGGUCUCCCGCCUGAUGCCGCCCUGCCGCGUGUCUGCAGAAGGCCUUCGGGUUGUAAAGUCCUUUCAGCGGGGAGGCAGGCGAUAAGGUUACUAACCUUGUUGCUUGACGUUACCCGCAGAAGAAGCACCGGCUAACUCCGUGCCAGCAGCCGCGGUAAUACGGAGGGUGCAAGCGUUAAUCGGAAUUACUGGGCGGAAAGCGCACGCAGGCGGUCUGUCAAGUCGGAUGUGAAAGCCCCGGGCUCAGCCUGGGAACUGCAUGCGAAACUGGCAGGCUGGAGGCGGGUAGAGGGGGGGAGAAUUCCAGGGGGAGCGGUGAAAUGCGGAGAGAUCUGGAGGAAGACCGGUGGCGAAGGCGGCCCCCGGGACAAAGACUGACGCUAAGGUGCGAAAGCGUGGGGAGCAAACAGGAGUAGAUACCCUCGUAA